UACGGGGGGGGCAAGCGUUGUUCGGAAUUACUGGGCGUAAAGGGCUCGUAGGCGGCCAACUAAGUCGGACGUGAAAUCCCUCGGCUUAACCGAGGAACUGCGUCCGAUACUGGAUGGCUUGAGUUCGGGAGAGGGAUGCGGAAUUCCAGGUGUAGCGGUGAAAUGCGCAGAUAUCAGGAGGAACACCGAUGGCGAAGGCAGGUCACUGGGCCGCAACUGACGCUGAGGAGCGAAAGCAUGGGGAGCGAACAGG
rnacentral:rRNA from 1 species